AUAUUUACUGUCAUAUUUGCAAAUCAUUUAUGUGGUAAGGGGCUUGCAUUGUGCUUGUACAACCAAGAAAAGUAAAAUUAAAACAAUUAAAAACUGGACAACAGAUAAGAAUCAAUAUUUCUCCAAAGGAAAUAACCAAAUGAAAAUAAUCACACUGAAAUAAUACUCAACAUUGUUAGGCCUUAGAACAAUGUAAACCGAACCCAUCAAAUACCACUUCAAGUCUACUGGGAUGGCUACAGUAGGGAACACAGGUAAUAACAGAUGUUGGAGAGGAUGGAAAAAAUGCAAAAAUCUUUGAUGUUUCUCUAAGGUUGUAAAAUGUUGCAGCUUUUUUGAAAAACCAAUUUGGCAGAUUCUCAAAAGGUUAGCCAAAGAGUUGCAUAUGACACAGCAAUUACACUGCUAAUUUUGUACUCAAGAGAAAUAAAAAGAUAUAUGCAGCUCCAUUAUUUGCAAUAGGCAAACCGUGUAGCAUCCAAAUGUGCCUCAACAGAUGGAUGAGUGAACUGAAUGUGGUUUGAACAUAACCAAGCCCCAGCAGGCACUCUAACGCCUGGACAGACCUUGGCCUCUGAUCCCAGGGAAGCAAAAUGCCCAGAGUCGGCAAGCAUCUGGAGCUAGGAAGGAAAUUAGCAGCUGCCCACAUCUGGGCUGGGGGACAAGUUGAGGAGAGAUGGGACUCAACUGCUCACAGAUAUGAUGAAGGUUUGGAGGGGUCGAAAAGUUCUAAAAACAAGCUAUGAUUAGACUGAGCAACUGAGAAACAGACUUGUGCAGAGGAUUUACACUGCAUAGUGUGUGAAGUGUUCCGUUGUAGAGUUACUGAAGGAGGAAGAUGACCUCAGAAUGGCGCAGUAGCGAGCAGAGUGGGUAGCAGGGCGCACAGAUGCUCUGCGCUGCUAACGGGAGCUUGUGGUCACUCACCUGGAAGCCACAUCCUCACCGUCAGUGACACUUCUCGUGUUCUGUCAUUCACACUCCUUACUCACAGCUGCCUCUGUUUAGACAGGACUCAUUGUUGCAGAUUAUGGAAAUCAAAUUCAAGUUUGUCUAAAGUAGUGUGGAGAGUGCCCCGCUCAUGUAAGUGAGGGAGACAGACGGACACCAAUCAGGCGUGUGUGGCUUCCAUCCCUGUCCAUCACUUGGCUGCCUUCUGCUCUGUUUUCUUUCUGGUACUUCCUGCUCUUCUGUAAGGCACAGGUCCCAAUCUCUGGCAUGGUGACGAUGGAAAAAACCAUUUUCUACUGCUUACCUCUUGUGAAUAGUGUGGUGUGCCCACUUCUCCAUCAACGUUUCUAAAGAGAGGGACCAAGAGGGGAGUGAAAGUAUCUAUUCACUGACAAAGCUAACAGGUGCCAACUAAUUAUAGUUUUCCUCUUCACUAAUAUCAUGGAGUUACUUGAAAGGAAAGAUUGAAGAAACAAUCUAGCUUUUAAGAGAAUCGUUUUGCUAAGAGUCAUCAGUUCAGGCCAAAGGAGAGAUGAACUUUUCAUAACUUAACAAGCCCCAGCCUUCAACACCACCGUUUACAACUUGGCAUUCAACAAAGAAAAUUCCAGAAAACUCUCUCAGAUAUUUUGUGUUCUACAAAUAUCAACUCUGGCAGGAAAUCUUCAAUCAGUGAUAAAAUGUAAGGGAUCUUCAAAAAUUUCAUGUAAAAUGCGUAUCUACUGACUGGACUUAGAUAAAUUUGUGAAAUCCAAAUGACUGUUAUUUCCAUUAGAUGUAGGGGUCCAAAUAAAAUCAGAUUUCAAAUUUCUUCACAGUGGGAUCUAUAAGACAGAAGCAACAAAUGAGAGAAGGUAGGGAGGAAAGGAGGCAGGGAGCGGAGGAAAGCAAAGUGGGUGGGGAGGGCAGGCGGGUGCUGCAGGUGGGAAGGGGCAGGACCACCUCCGCCACAGCUUUGCUCUCCUGCUUUGUGGUGUGGGACCCAGUGAGAACAAUCAACGUCACCACGUCUAUUUAGCCUGAAUUCCAUGGCAGCGCAGUGGCAUCGUGAUGUGUGGGAAAGACGCACAGGAGCCAGAGUGUCACCACGGCCUCAGGAGGGCAUUGAUCUGGAACGGGAAGGGUGUCUGGUCAGCGCCACAGCUCUGCUCGUGGUCCCAGGUCCCACAUGAUAAAUUGCAUAUGAGGACACUGUCAACCCAAAAAGGAUCACUGGAAGAGAGUUUGCGUUAAUAAAAUCUUUGCUCCAUCUUGCAUAAUUUCUUUG